rnacentral:rRNA from 1 species
GAUGAACGCUGGCGGCGUGCCUAAUACAUGCAAGUCGAGCGAACAGACGAGGAGCUUGCUCCUCUGACGUUAGCGGCGGACGGGUGAGUAACACGUGGAUAACCUACCUAUAAGACUGGGAUAACUUCGGGAAACCGGAGCUAAUACCGGAUAAUAUAUUGAACCGCAUGGUUCAAUAGUGAAAGACGGUUUUGCUGUCACUUAUAGAUGGAUCCGCGCCGCAUUAGCUAGUUGGUAAGGUAACGGCUUACCAAGGCAACGAUGCGUAGCCGACCUGAGAGGGUGAUCGGCCACACGGGAACUGAGACACGGUCCAGACUCCUACGGGAGGCAGCAGUAGGGAAUCUUCCGCAAUGGGCGAAAGCCUGACGGAGCAACGCCGCGUGAGUGAUGAAGGUCUUCGGAUCGUAAAACUCGGUUAUUAGGGAAGAACAAAUGUGUAAGUAACUAUGCACGUCUUGACGGUACCUAAUCAGAAAGCCACGGCUAACUACGUG